AGAGUUUGAUCCUGGCUCAGGAUGAACGCUGGCGGUAUGCCUUACACAUGCAAGUCGUACGAGAGUUUUUAACUCAAGUGGCGGACGGGUGAGUAACACGUGGGCAACCUGCCCCUCGCAGGGGGACAACCGGAGGAAACUCCGGCUAAUACCCCGUACGCUUGUUGGAUCGCAUGGUCCGGCAAGGAAAGGUAGCUUCGGCCAUCCGGCGAGGGAUGGGCCCGCGUUGCGUUAGCUAGUUGGUGGGGUAACGGCCUACCAAGGCGACGAUGCGUAGCUGGUCUGAGAGGAUGAUCAGCCACACUGGGACUGAGACACGGCCCAGACUCCUACGGGAGGCAGCAGCCAGGGAAUCUUGGGCAAUGGGCGAAAGCCUGACCCAGCAACACCGUGUGGGCGAUGAAGGCCUUAGGGUCGUAAAGCCCUGUUGAUAGGGACGAAGGGCGAAGGGUUAAUAGCCCCUAGCUUGACGGUACCUUUCGAGGAAGCCCCGGCUAACUACGUGCCAGCAGCCGCGGUAAUACGUAGGGGGCGAGCGUUGUCCGGAAUUAUUGGGCGUAAAGAGCGUGUAGGCGGUUCGGUAAGUCUGCUGUGAAAUCCUGGGGCUCAACCCUGGGCGUGCAGCGGAUACUGCCGGGCUAGAGGGUGGUAGAGGCGAGUGGAAUUCCGAGUGUAGCGGUGAAAUGCGCAGAUAUUCGGAGGAACACCAGUAGCGAAGGCGGCUCGCUGGGCCACACCUGACGCUGAGACGCGAAAGCGUGGGGAGCGAACAGGAUUAGAUACCCUAGUAGUCC
rnacentral:rRNA from 1 species